CAAAUCAACUCCACAUCAUCACAAACACCCUUUAACCUCUCAUUCUAUGAAAUGCGACUUCCCCAAUUAAAACCUAAAACCAUCUAGCGCGAUUUCCAGAAUAGUCAAAGCUCAAUCCCAAAGUCCUAUAAUCAAUUUGACACUCGAAACCUAAUCCCCAAACUCAGAAAAUCUGAUCAUCGAUCUCCAUCCAGCCGUUUGUAACCAGUAGAAGAGCCCAACCAGCAGAAGAAGCAUCUAUUUGAUUUGAAAAGUUCGACUUCGAGCAAGAUAGUUGAGCGUGCACAUUAACAGAUCUAUUGAAGAUUGUGAGGAAGAUUCGGUCCAGGAUUUCGAGUUGGAAUAAUGACAUGCUCCAAUUCAUGUGGAGCGCGAAGCACGGUCAGAGUGUAUUCCAAUUCAGGACAAUCAGGUUCUGGACAUGGAGGGGAAAACAUACAACAGCAGUAGCUGUGCAUUAUUUCAGUUUCUUCUUUGUUUUUGUCAAUGUAUGCUAGAAUCUAAGUGCGGACCAGUGAAUAAGCCUUUUUGGUCUGGAUAUGUAUGCAUGUAUGGAAACUCUGGGAAUUUUAUGAAACUUAUGAAAACCGUUCCACUGUUGUUAUGGAAAUUAUGGAUGAUUUGUGGGAAUAGUUGUGGAAGUUAAUGUUGAUGUU